GAUGAAGAACGCAGCGAAAUGCGAUAAGUAAUGUGAAUUGCAGAAUUCAGUGAAUCAUCGAAUCUUUGAACGCACAUUGCGCCCGCCAGUAUUCUGGCGGGCAUGCCUGUUCGAGCGUCAUUUCAACCAUCAAGCCCCAGGCUUGUGUUGGAGCCCUGCGGCUGCCGCAGCCUCCCAAAACCAGUGGCGGGCUCGCUAUCACACCGAGUGCAGUAGUUUACUCUUCGCUCAGGGCGUGUGGCGGAUGCUAGCCGUAAAACCCCCAACUUCUCAAGGUUGACCUCGGAUCAGGUAGGAAUACCCGCUGAACUUAAGCAUAUCAAUAAGCGGAGGA
rnacentral:misc_RNA from 1 species